GUCUCUUCUUUAGAAAAGCUCCAGGACGAGACGAUGACGAUGACGAUGACGUCCUACGCUCUCUCUUCAUCUUCCUUCUGCCGCAAUUCUCGCAUCCCUGCUAUCAGUUCCCGUGUUCAUCCUCAUCUUAAUGUCAGUAACAAGCUCACACUUUCUUCACCGCAGUUUCUGAACGCCGGCGUGCGCCUCCGCGGUUUAUCGGUUCCGGGGAAGUUUCCGAAUGCAAAACUUAGGGUAAGAUGCGAGAAAGAGGAUACAAUAAAGGGUGAGACAGAGGAUGAGGCGGAGCGAUUCGCGAGACGAGAGAGCACUAUGCCUGAUAGAUUCAGACACUUGACCAAAGAAGCACCCGACACUCCUGUUAGAUGGCCCUGGUUUAUCGCGUUAGCGUUUCUUGUUUAUGCGUGGAGAGCUGUCUUGUUUGAGCUAUCAAACUGGAGAAAUGCUGUUUUCGCCAUCGUUAGGUUUCUCGGAGACCUUUCGAAGUUCGCGUUGGCACUCGUCUUCCACUUUAUAGGAGAUCCCAUCACAUCUCUCAUCGCCCUCGUGGAAACAGCAAUCUACAGCGUCCGGGCCUUCUACUCGGGGAUCGUGGCUUACACGCCGGUGAGAGAGUUAACCACUGUGAUCCUUCUCGCAUCAUCCGUGCUUGCGAUAGGAGAAGCUGUUGCGCCAAACUCGAUCAGCAAGCAGCCGUAUGUGGUAACUCUUGCGGGUCUAGUGGGGUAUGCAGCUGUGCAGGGGUACAUCUCGGAGCCGUUCUUCUGGACCGUCUUGGUGGGUAUGUAUGGGUAUUCGCGGUUGGUAAAGAAGAGGGACGAUGUGACCUCGGCGUUACCUUCUGCGGCUGUUCUGGCGGGUGUAGGGGAGCCGUGGGUGAGAGUGGUGGCUAUCGCAGGGUAUUUGGCUCUAGCCAUGUAUCAUAAUUCAACUAAGAAGAGCUCAUCUGAAGAAGAGGAGGGACAGAUCGUGAGGAAGGCACCACCUGUGCCGUUGUUGGCUGCAGCUUUGGCUAUUGGGGUAAGGCUUGCUGCUAAAUGGGCUGGUUACAGGCACUUGACUUGGAUGAUUGUUUAAAUUCUCUGCCACUUAAAGACCAAACAAAACUAGUUUGUGUUGUACUUUAUAACCUCUACCCACUGCUAAACUAUUAGGGCGCAAGGAGUACUAGUCAUAGAGGCACGGAUAGAUUGAAUUAGUGGCGGUGUUUAUACGUGGAGGCACACUAUGUUUAUCAUAUAGUUUAGCCUCUAAAAGUAUCACCUAAACUCCACUUGUUUUCUUAUCUACCGCUUUGAAGUUUCUCUGGGGUCAAGAUCUCUGGGUUCGGUAAAGAUUUAUCAACAAUCAUUUGUAACAUUUGGAAUCCAUAAAUAAUAAAAAUGGACUCCUCUUC